GGAGAGCAUCCAUCCAUCCAUCCCUCCAGCCUCCAGAUCCCUGCCUGAGCAGCCACUGACUUAAAAUGGCAGAUGGAGCAAAGGUGUUCAAGAAGACCAGUCCCAACAGCAAGUUAUCCAUCUACCUGGGGAAGAGAGACUUUGUGGAUCAUGUGGAGUCAGUGGAAUCUGUAGAUGGUGUCUGCCUGAUCGAUCCGGAGUACCUAAAGGACAGAAAAGUGUAUGUGACUCUGACUUGUGCAUUUCGCUACGGCCGAGAUGACCUUGAUGUUAUUGGAUUGACCUUCAGGAAGGACCUCUAUGUCCUGACCACCCAGAUCUUUCCGCCGGUGCCGGACCAGGCACCCAAAACCCUCACUCCUUUGCAGGAAAAGCUGAUGAAGAAGCUUGGGGAGAACGCCUACCCCUUUACCUUCGAGAUUGCCACCAACCUGCCCUGCUCCGUCACCCUCCAGCCUGGACCAGAUGAUGUGGGAAAGGCCUGUGGUGUGGACUUCGAGGUCAAAGGAUUUUGUGCUGAAAAUCUGGAGGAGAAAAUCCACAAGAGGAACUCGGUGCGCCUCAUCAUCCGCAAGAUCCAGUUUGCACCCGAGAAGACAGGGCCAGGCCCGAAGGCAGAGACCACCCGGCAGUUCAUGAUGUCUGACAAACCCCUGCACCUUGAAGCCUCCCUGGAAAAGGAGAUCUUCUACCAUGGAGAUCCCAUCAAUGUGACCGUCAACAUCAACAACACCACCAACAAGAUUGUGAAAAAAAUUAAGAUUUCAGUUGAUCAGAUCACAGACGUGGUCCUCUAUUCACUGGAUAAAUACGCGAAGACUGUGUGCACUGAGGAGAUAAAUGAGACCGUGGCAGCCAACUCCACGUUCACUAAAACGUAUGCUAUCACCCCCACGCUCUCGGCCAACCGCGAGAAGCGAGGGCUUGCUCUGGAUGGCAAGCUCAAGCACGAGGACACCAACCUGGCCUCCACCACCAUCCUGAGACCUGGCAUGGACAAGGAGGUGCUGGGCAUCCUGGUGUCCUACAAAGUGAAGGUCAACCUGGUGGUGUCCCGAGGAGGCAUCCUGGGGGAUCUCACUGCCAGCGACGUUGGUGUUGAGCUGCCUGUCAUCCUGAUGCACCCGAAGCCUGCGGACGAUAAGCCAAGGUAAAGAGAUGUUUCAGUACACCUCAAGCCAGAAUUUCCUCCAACACACGAACCAUACAGAUCCAUCACAGAUGGGUGUGGUGGCCCAUUCCAGUUUAUCCUGGGAUUCAAAUGCUAGGCUCGGCACGUGCUCUGCAAAUCCCAGGGCGUGUUUGGCAACUCUCCUUGCUGUAAACACAGCAGCCUCUCCAGCUGCCAACCCAGACCUUGCCCUGGCCCUUGGAAGCAGCCAGCAGUGCUGCAUCUCCCAGUCACAAGAGCCACCACCAGACAAUACAUCCCCCAUGGCUUCAGUCCCCAUCGCCCUGCGCUGAGGUUCCUCGGCUGCCGGAAGCGGCACCGGUCAUGGCCCCAUUUGCUCCCCACUGCCAGAGCCCCCUUCUCCUCCCACCACAUGAGGUUAUUCCAGCAGAAGCCACAGCUGCGGUUGCUUCCCCGGGGAAACUGCAGCAUGCCAAACCCAUUCCUGGCAGGCAGAGCCGCCAGCCGGCCCCGCAGCCGGCGCUGGUUUGCCAAGGGCCAAAAGGCUGGGUUUGUGUCUGGUUACACCCUGCAACGGGACAUGAGCGCUGGGAUGUGGAGCCUGGAAUCUCGGGCUGCAACUGCAGGGCUUUUGCACCAAAGCCCAUCCGUUCCUUUACUCAGAAAACACAUUUAAACUUCUAGAGGAAGAAAUCUCUUGGCCUGUCCCCACCAUCACUCCCUGUGGAUUUUGCCAAGUUUGUUUCACAUUCACAAGCUUUUGGAAUAGCUUUUGCUGACUCUUUUUUUCCAUUUGCUUCCCCCGCUUUUCAUUUUGCGGCUCUCCCUUGAUGUCAUCUGCUUGCCUUUCGCAAGAAGUGAGGAGGACAUCGUCAUCGAAGAAUUUGCUCGCCAAAAACUCAAGGGGGAGAAAGACGACGAAGACGAGAAGGAGGAAGCUGACAAAGAGGAGAGCUAACCUGCUCACACGGACGGCCCCGGAUCGGGAUG